CAAUCAGCCUUGAUUUGGUGAUAGGAAGGUGACCUCAAGUUCUUGUUUCUUUCCAUAUUUUCUCACAGCAUUUUGGAUUUUUAUAAAAUCUGAAAAGGAAAAAGCUGUGAAGCAGGAGACGAAUCAGGGCAGAUUAUUCAGGACACCGCCAUGGGGGAUUGUAAACUCACGAGGGCAGCCAGGACCUGACCUCUGCUGAAUAUUCAUGACAAAAGAGAAGA
rnacentral:lncRNA from 1 species